ensembl:lncRNA
CGCGCACUGGGAGAGAACAUCGUCCGCAGAGGACGCGAGUGAGCUGGAAUGCUUUGACGUCAGUAGCAGGCCAGCGCUCAGAGCCGAUCAGACAGUGAAUGAAUGUGCGAAUACUGCAGAGAGGCGCACUCGCAGCAUCGACCAUCCAUCCCUGUUGCCUCGUCCUUUCGGAGACAUCGGGGCAUACACACGCCACUGGCACAGUGAACACAACAGGACGUCGGGAAAAUAUUGGAAACCAAUAGCUUUACGAUUCUAACUCAUCAAGUAGUAUUGGAAUAGCAAGAAGUGCCAAGCUGUUUACAGAGGCAGGUCGCUCCACAAGCCUCAAGGAUAACGCAUUUUCCUCUCAAUGGGAAACCGUGGAGCAUGGGUCAACUCUGAGUCAUCACAGGACCACCAACCAGAGAGGGAGAGAGAAGAAGAGGGUGGACAGGAAUACAGAUGGGGUGAUUGAAUAGCAGAGGAAAGUUAAAGUGAUCCUACAGAGUUGAUAAUUGAGGGAACAAGCAUGUGAUUGUGGGUAUACAGUCAGAGUGCAUGUGUGUGUGAGGGCUUGUUGGCAUGUGUACAAGUUACUGCUUAUGACCAUCUUGUCCUCAGUUAAUUUUUUUAAACAUUUGUGGGAGGAGACAGAUUGCCCUCUGCCUGCGCUGUGACCCCUGGGUCAUGGGGUGGGCCUAGGGGAGAGAGAGGGGACAGGAAAGAAGGGAGAGCAGCCAGGUCACACAGGCCCUGCAGCAGUCAGUCUCAGCACACAGCCUCUGUUAGUGCUUCGAUCUGCUGCAUAAGGGAACAGAGCGUGUGCUGCUCAACACAUCAACUAACUAUGUGUCUUGGUAGGCCUUGAGAGCCAUGCUGUACUCAACUCCGCUCUCUCAUUACCACUGAUAGGUGAAAGAACUGGAUAGGUGUCCACCAUAUUGAUUUGACUGUCCGUGACCAAACUUUGGGCCCUAGUCAUGAGGGAAGGAAGACAAGGAUAGACCGAUAUAAGGGUAUUUAAGACACAACCCACUCAACACUGUACUUCCCCUCCCAAUUGUAUUUCUAUUAAUAUUACAAUGCUGUUCCAUACAAAGGGAGAGACAGAGGUAAUGGAGGAGUUAAAUAUGUGAUGAGUUUAAAUGCUGGGAAUGAGUGUAGAAUUGAAUCUACUUUGUUGUAAUGAGUGAAUUGAGAAUUCAGAAGAGAGAGUGCUCUCUCAAGUCUCUGCUCCCCUAUUCCCACGUGGACCUCACCAUGUUGAAUAUUGCACGAUGGGAACAAGUGAGAUGAGAUCAUACCUAAGGAAACCCCACUCUGUUCCUCCAUCACCCCUCCCUCCAUUUUCCCCUUCACUAUCCUGACUCCAUUUCCUCCUCCCUCCCUUUUCCCCUCUCCAUCCCUAUCCUCUCACUCUCUACUCUUCCCUCUGAUACGAAACCGAAUGAGUCAUCCCCUUGCCCCUCUCUCAUUAUGCUUCUCUCACACCAUAAUCCUACCCAGCUGUACCCUGUGUGUGUGUGUGUGUUUGUGUGUGUGUGUGUGUGUGUGUGGCAGUGCAUGGGUCCAUAUUCACCCUUGUCCUUGUGUUAAAGAUGCACUCUCAAACUUUUGUAUAAUUUCAGCCAGUAGUUUUGAAAGUGGUGCUCUUGAGCCAAAAUGGGUCCCCUUUUUUUGUGUACUGUGUCUUCAAAUUGUGUACUACGCCAUGUGUACUAACUCAAUUUGUGCAAUAUGUUACACAUUUCUUGCGCUUAAGAUCCCUGCGUGCAUCUUUAAGUGUGGCCCUUCUAUUGUUGUUUGUCUGAAUGUUCACUUCACUUAGAAUGUGUUCUCUGCCUUUUCUGCUCAGCUAGCACCAGCAAAAAUAUAUAUUUUCAAUAAUUGGCUCAAGAUGUGAGAUCCUUUAUGUUUGCAAAG